rnacentral:rRNA from 1 species
CAGCCGCCGCGGUAAUACGUAGGUGGCAAGCGUUGUCCGGAAUUAUUGGGCGUAAAGCGCGCGCAGGCGGUUCCUUAAGUCUGAUGUGAAAUCUCGCGGCUCAACCGCGAGCGGCCAUUGGAAACUGGGGAACUUGAGUGCAGGAGAGGGGAGCGGAAUUCCACGUGUAGCGGUGAAAUGCGUAGAGAUGUGGAGGAACACCAGUGGCGAAGGCGGCUCUCUGGUCUGUCCCUGACGCUGAGGAGCGAAAGCCGGGGGAGCGAACCGGAUUAGAUUCCCGGGUGGUCCUGGCUGUAAACGAUGGGUACUAGGUGUGGGAGGUUCGACCCCUUCCGUGCCGCAGCUAACGCAUUAAGUCCCCCGCCUGGGGAGUACGGCCGCAAGGUUGAAACUUAAAGGAAUUGGCGGG